rnacentral:rRNA from 1 species
UACAGAGGUCCCGAGCGUUGUUCGGAUUCACUGGGCGUAGAGGGUGCGUAGGUGGUGAGGUAAGUCGGAUGUGAAAUCUCCGGGCUCAACCCGGAAAUGGCAUUGGAAACUACCUUGCUGGAGGAUUUGAGGGGGGAUUGGAAUACUUGGUGUAGCAGUGAAAUGCGUAGAUAUCAAGUGGAACACCAGUGGCGAAGGCGAAUCCCUGGAAAAUACCUGACACUGAGGCACGAAAGCUAGGGGAGCAAACAGG